CCUACGGGAGGCAGCAGUGGGGAAUCUUGCGCAAUGGGCGAAAGCCUGACGCAGCCAUGCCGCGUGAAUGAUGAAGGUCUUAGGAUUGUAAAAUUCUUUCACCGGGGACGAUAAUGACGGUACCCGGAGAGGAAGCCCCGGCUAACUUCGUGCCAGCAGCCGCGGUAAUACGAAGGGGGCUAGCGUUGCUCGGAAUUACUGGGCGUAAAGGGAGCGUAGGCGGAUAGUUUAGUCAGAGGUGAAAGCCCAGGGCUCAACCUUGGAAUUGCCUUUGAUACUGGCUAUCUUGAGUAUGGGAGAGGUAUGCGGAACUCCGAGUGUAGAGGUGAAAUUCGUAGAUAUUCGGAAGAACACCAGUGGCGAAGGCGGCAUACUGGCCCAUUACUGACGCUGAGGCUCGAAAGCGUGGGGAGCAAACAGGAUUAGAUACCCUGGUAGUCCACGCUGUAAACGAUGAGUGCUAGUUGUCGGCAUGCAUGCAUGUCGGUGGACGCACGCGUAACGACAUUAAGACACCUCCGCCGUCGGGGUAGGUACGGUCGCGAAGAAGUUAAACUACGAAGAAGUAGUAGCGCGAGACGAGCGACGACGACGACGAGGAGGAGG
rnacentral:rRNA from 1 species